rnacentral:rRNA from 1 species
AGAGUUUGAUCAUGGCUCAGAACGUACGCUGGCGGCACGCCUAACACAUGCAAGUCGAACGCAGUAGCAAUACUGAGUGGCAAACGGGUGAGUAUAAUGUGGGAAUCUGCCUUUUGGUUUGGAAUAACACGGGGAAACUUGUGCUAAUACCAAAUAAGCCCUUACGGGGAAAGUUUUAACGCCGAAAGAUGAGCCCGCACUUGAUUAGCUAGUUGGUAAGGUAAAAGCUUACCAAGGCAACGAUCAAUAGCUGUUCUUAGAGGAAGACCAGCCACAUUGGGACUGAGACACGGCCCAGACUCCUACGGGAGGCAGCAGUGGGGAAUCUUGCACAAUGGGGGAAACCCUGAUGCAGCGAUGCCGCGUGAGUGAAGAAGGCCCUUGGGUUGUAAAACUCUUUCGUCGGGGAAGAAAAUGACUGUACCCGAAUAAGAAGGUCCGGCUAACUUCGUGCCAGCAGCCGCGGUAAUACGAAGGGACCUAGCGUAGUUCGGAAUUACUGGGCUUAAAGAGCUCGUAGGUGGUUAAAAAAGUUGAUGGUGAAAUCCCAAGGCUUAACCUUGGAACUGCCAUCAAAACUUUUUAGCUAGAGUGUGAUAGAGGUAAGUGGAAUUUCUAGUGUAGAGGUGAAAUUCGUAGAUAUUAGAAAGAACACCAAAUGCGAAGGCAACUUACUGGGUCACUACUGACACUGAGGAGCGAAAGCAUGGGUAGCGAAGAGGAUUAGAUACCCUCGUAGUCCAUGCCGUAAACGAUGUGUGCUAGACGUUGGAAAUAUAUUUUUCAGUGUCGCAGCGAAAGCAUUAAGCACACCGCCUGGGGAGUACGACCGCAAGGUUAAAA